rnacentral:snRNA from 1 species
GGAUACAUAUUGACAGCUCUUA